rnacentral:rRNA from 1 species
CAGGGAAUAUUGCACAAUGGACGGAAGUCUGAUGCAGCGACGCCGCGUGGACGAAGAAGGCCUUCGGGUUGUAAAGUCCUUUUCAGGGGGAAGAGAGAGGACGGUACCCUUGGAAUAAGCGUCGGCUAACUACGUGCCAGCAGCCGCGGUAAGACGUAGGACGCGAGCGUUAUCCGGAUUUACUGGGCGUAAAGCGUCUGUAGGCGGGACAGUAAGUUGGGCGUGAAAGCUUCGGGCUUAACCCGGAGAGGACGUACAAGACUGCUGAACUAGAGGCCACCAGAGGGGCGUGGAAUUUCCGGUGUAGCGGUAAAAUGCGCAGAUAUCGGAAGGAACACCAGUGGCGAAGGCGGCGCCCUGGGGUGGGCCUGACGCUAAGAGACGAAAGCUAGGGGAGCGAACAG